rnacentral:rRNA from 1 species
GAUGAACGCUGGCGGCGUGCCUAAUACAUGCAAGUCGAGCGAACAGACGAGGAGCUUGCUCCUCUGACGUUAGCGGCGGACGGGUGAGUAACACGUGGAUAACCUACCUAUAAGACUGGGAUAACUUCGGGAAACAGGAGCUAAUACCGGAUAAUAUAUUGAACCGCAUGGUUCAAUAGUGAAAGACGGCUUUGCUGUCACUUAUAGAUGGAUCCGCGCCGCAUUAGCUAGUUGGUAAGGUAACGGCUUACCAAGGCAACGAUGCGUAGCCGACCUGAGAGGGUGAUCGGCCACACUGGAACUGAGACACGGUCCAGACUCCUACGGGAGGCAGCAGUGGGGAAUCUUCCGCAAUGGGCGAAAGCUUGACGGAGCAACGCCGCGUGAGUGAUGAAGGUCUUCGGAUCGUAAAACUCUGUUAUUAGGGAAGAACAAAUGUGUAAGUAACUAUGCACGUCUUGACGGUACCUAAUCAGAAAGCCACGGCUAACUACGUG